rnacentral:pre_miRNA from 1 species
UUUAUAUUCCCUCUGUCCUAAAAUAAGUGUCUCAACUUUGUACUAAAUAACUGUCUCAAGCUUAGUACAACUUUGUACUAGAUCUAAUACAAAGUUGAGACACUUAUUUUAGGACGGAGGGAAUAUAUA